rnacentral:lncRNA from 1 species
CGAAAAACACCCUAUCAGUGUUCUCUCUGAGGUUGUUCAGGAUAAACGGGAGACUCGUUUCACUUACACGAAAGAAACAGGGGAAGAGGAUUAAAGGGAAAAGUAGUGCCCCCAAAGCUGAACUAUUUUAGAAAGGAAAGCAAAUUUAAAAAUCACUUUUCUGAGGAUUAAAAAAGGCCGGGAAACCGGCUCGUCGGAGGCACAAAGAGAGACAGUUUAAUCAGUCCGUGACCAAAAUCAAACAGAGUAAACUGUGUCAUCAUGGAGAUCUGCCCAGGAAAUCCCCAAAAUACAGAAGGAUCAGAAGUAGAUGGAAAUAAUGUCAUAGAACGUCUCUCACAACUGUGUUAUAAGAAUGACAGGGAAGCUACAGGUUACAACAGAUUUGUGAACUCAGCCAAGCACAGUGGUGGCAGGGCCUAGCUGCUACAAAGAAGACAUGUUUUAGACAAAUACUCAUGUGUAUGGGCAAAAAACUCGAGGACUGUAUUUGUGACUAAUUGUGUAACAGGGUAUUUUAGUUCCUGUUCUGUGGAAAGUGUAAAGCAUUCCAACAAAGGGUUUUAAUGUAGAUUUUUUUUUGCACCCAUGCUUUGAUUGCUAAAUGUAAUAGUCAGAUCGUGACGCUGAAUAAAUGUCUUUUUCUAAAAAAAAAAAAAAAGAAUGACACAUAUUUGUUCUUCAUUCUUGUUUCACAUUAGUAGUGGCAUUUCUCAUGCUCUAUUUUCCCAGCCUUGUUCUAUAUUUUGAGUUAUGUGAAUAAAAGUAUGCCAGGAUGCAAUAGGAAGGGUGCUUAAUAUUCAUCCUUGUAGGUUCAGGGAGAUCUUUCCAUGGAAGUAACAUUUGAACUGAGAUCUAAAGGAUGAAUAGGAAUUAUUCAGGCCAAGUGGUAAGUCAGAGAAAAGUGCUUGCUUUAGAUAAA